AUGCAUCCUCUCGGGCAAGCGAUUGACCCCUUCGGUCCCGAUCCCCGUUUGUCCAUGAUAUUCCCCGAUGUACUCGAGCCUGCCCCCCCGCGGGAAACGACUCGCUCCCUUCGGGGACUCUGGCCUUCUACCUCGACCAAGUCUUCGGGACGUUUCCGGCGGCACGUUCGGUUUGUAGAGGCGCGGUGGAGUUUCAAGAUUGUUCUUGCGUUUCCGUCGACAAAUCCGGUGAGUGCUGUCCAUUGA